UGCCUUUAUGUGUUGCCCAUUCAUUGCUUUCUACAGUGACUGUGGUGUCAACUAAGGCAUAUAGCAAUUCUUGGAUCGGCCUUAGCAGGGUUCCUCUCUGGUGACCUUGUCUUAAGUUCUAUACCAAGUACAGCA
rnacentral:snoRNA from 1 species